GGGGCCGCGCUGCCGGCAGCGGGGAGGAAGAGGAGGGCGGGCCGGGUGCCAGGGGAGGGAAGGCCGCGCGGUGAGGUGGGGCCGAAGGCGGGAGCUGUGUGGGGCCCGGCCCAGGUGGGCGAGAGUGCGUCGAGGGCCCUGAGUGGUGUGGCUUUCCUCCCCCUCGGACACGGAGGCCCUUCCCGCACCACGGUGAUCUCUGUUUGGACACUUACAGUUACCCGUCAUGUUGAUAUGCACUUGACUCACCCUAGCCUCGGGCCCCAUGCCCCACACGGAUGCUCAUGGAGGCAGCAGGAAGAUGAGGAGCUCUCCAGGGUUCUGCUCAAGCUGAGCUGCAAGCAGCUGGAGGAUAAGCAUUUGGAGAGAAAUACCUCCAAACUGCCCUUUGAUCCAGCCAGCUUGAGUCAGCUUGCAGAAACGAGGGUAUGACCAAUGGCUAAAUGGGGUAAAUAGUGCACUAAAUUGCUAAUGGCUCUCUACUGCAAGAUUAAAGAUGGAAACUAAUUCUGGCAAAUUCCCAUCUACCUGCCUACAUCGUGAUGUUCUGAACAGUGCAUUGAAUCUUCCACAUGAUGUUUCUGGAAGAAUAGUUCAAGUAGGCUGGCGGUGGUGCGACAAUGGUUGCUCUGGAGGAGGCAGCUGAGGAGGAGCCUGCAGGGUUUCAGAAACAGUGAUGUUGAAAGAGGCGGACAAGCAGU
rnacentral:lncRNA from 1 species